CCUACGGGAGGCAGCAGUGGGGAAUAUUGCACAAUGGGGGAAACCCUGAUGCAGCAACGCCGCGUGAGUGAUGACGGCCUUCGGGUUGUAAAGCUCUGUCUUCAGGGACGAUAAUGCCGGUACCUGAGGAGGAAGCCACGGCUAAAUCCUUGCCAGCAGCCGCGGUAAUACGGAGGUGCCGAGCGCUGUGCGGUAUUACUGGGCGUAAAGGGAGCGUGGGCGGAAUGUGAUGUGAGAUGUGAAAUCCUCGGGCUCAACCUGAGAGCUGCAUUUCAAACUGGAAGUCUAGAGUGCAGGAGAGGAGAAUGGAAUUCAUAGUGUAGCGGUGAAAUGCGUAGAGAUUAGGAGGAACACCAGUGGCGAAGGCGAUUCUCUGGAAUGUAACUGACGCUGAGGCUCGAAAGCGUGGGGAGCAAACAGGAUUAGAUACCCUUGUAGUC
rnacentral:rRNA from 1 species